UGGUCUGUCUCUGCCCUGGCAC
rnacentral:miRNA from 1 species